rnacentral:rRNA from 1 species
UCGAGCGGACAGAUGGGAGCUUGCUCCCUGAUGUCAGCGGCGGACGGGUGAGUAACACGUGGGUAACCUGCCUGUAAGACUGGGAUAACUCCGGGAAACCGGGGCUAAUACCGGAUGCUUGAUUGAACCGCAUGGUUCAAUUAUAAAAGGUGGCUUUUAGCUACCACUUACAGAUGGACCCGCGGCGCAUUAGCUAGUUGGUGAGGUAACGGCUCACCAAGGCAACGAUGCGUAGCCGACCUGAGAGGGUGAUCGGCCACACUGGGACUGAGACACGGCCCAAACUCCUACGGGAGGCAGCAGUAGGGAAUCUUCCGCAAUGGACGAAAGUCUGACGGAGCAACGCCGCGUGAGUGAUGAAGGUUUUCGGAUCGUAAAACUCUGUUGUUAGGGAAGAACAAGUACCGUUCGAAUAGGGCGGUACCUUGACGGUACCUAACCAGAAAGCCACGGCUAACUACGUGCCAGCAGCCGCGGUAAUACGUAGGUGGCAAGCGUUGUCCGGAAUUAUUGGGCGUAAAGCGCGCGCAGGCGGUUUCUUAAGUCUGAUGUGAAAGCCCCCGGCUCAACCGGGGAGGGUCAUUGGAAACUGGGGAACUUGAGUGCAAAAAAGGAGAGUGAAAUUCCACGUGUACCGGUGAAAUGCGUAGAGAUGUGGAGGAACACCAGUGGCGAAGGCGACUCUCUGGUCUGUAACUGACGCUGAG